rnacentral:tRNA from 1 species
GGACAAGUAGCUCAGCUUGGUAGAGCGCGAUCGCGACGAGGUCGCAGGUUCAAAUCCUGCCUUGACCGCCA